rnacentral:misc_RNA from 1 species
UUUUCUCAUAUUCUGAAGCAGUAACAGGCAAAUCAUGAAUUCAAAGUUUCAAAGAGUACAAUAACACAAUUAGAAACUUAAGCAGGGAAAAAAUGGGGGAAAGACUUCAGAACCAUAGUCAAAUCACAUCAGAAUAAGGCAGUUUAAACUUAUUAGAUAUGAAAUUCAGCUCCAAUAUUAUCAAGAGGAUGUCAGAAGAACUAAGCAGCAUACUUAGGGGCUUCCCUGUGCUUGAGAAUCUUUUUCUCGAGCUCAUCUUUUUUAGCCCCAACAACUCUCUCUACUUCCUUGCCUUGUUUCAGCAGCAAAAAUGUUGGCAUAGCUUGAACUCCGAACUCUUUCGCUACGUCCGAGAGCUCAUCGACGUCAAUUUUGACAAAGUCAACAUCGGUAUACUUGGAAGCCAUGGCGUUAAUAGCCGGCUCCAUGAACUUGCAAGGCCCGCACCAUGCAGCCGCAAAAUCCACAACUAUCAGUUUAUUCAAUUGCUUGGAGGAGUUGAAGUGAAGUUGCCACCGAUUGGAUGAAUGAAAAGCAAUCACACGCGACGGCUCUGACGGCGAUCCUGACACUUCCGUUGCUGCCUGCGCUUCACCUCCGCCGAGUAAGCUUGAAACAAAGGAACCCAUUCGACUCCUCACUUCUUACGCCCGGCCC